UACGAAGGGAGCUAGCGUUGUUCGGAAUUACUGGGCGUAAAGCGCACGUAGGCGGAUUUGUAAGUCAGGGGUGAAAUCCCGGGGCUCAACCUCGGAACUGCCUUUGAUACUGCGAAUCUCGAGUCCGGAAGAGGUGAGUGGAAUUCCUAGUGUAGAGGUGAAAUUCGUAGAUAUUAGGAAGAACACCAGUGGCGAAGGCGACAUACUGGCUCAUUACUGACGCUGAGGCUCGAAAGCGUGGGGAGCAAAC
rnacentral:rRNA from 1 species